rnacentral:rRNA from 1 species
AGUGAACGCUGGCGGUAGGCCUAACACAUGCAAGUCGAACGGCAGCACAGUAAGAGCUUGCUCUUACGGGUGGCGAGUGGCGGACGGGUGAGGAAUACAUCGGAAUCUACUUUUUCGUGGGGGAUAACGUAGGGAAACUUACGCCAAUACCGCAUACGACCUACGGGUGAAAGCAGGGGAUCUUAGGCCCUUGCGCGAUUGAAUGAGCCGAUGUCGGAUUAGCUAGUUGGCGGGGUAAAGGCCCACCAAGGCGACGAUCCGUAGCUGGUCUGAGAGGAUGAUCAGCCACACUGGAACUGAGACACGGUCCAGACUCCUACGGGAGGCAGCAGUGGGGAAUAUUGGACAAUGGGCGCAAGCCUGAUCCAGCCAUACCGCGUGGGUGAAGAAGGCCUUCGGGUUGUAAAGCCCUUUUGUUGGGAAAGAAAAGCAGCAGGUUAAUACCCCGCUGUUCUGACGGUACCCAAAGAAUAAGCACCGGCUAACUUCGUG